UUAUAUGAGACGGCUUAAAACAAUAAUCUUUGCCCUUGAUAUUAAACUAGAUUAGUUUAACAUGUGAAAUGUCAGUAAAGUAUCAUCACAUGAUUGGUUUUAGGGCACAUUUCCAACAAUCUCCCACUUGCACUAAAGCCAAUCAGCUUGGUCAUCAGUGAUGAUACCUCUUCUUUAGUCAUUUCAAAAAUGGCUGAGUAGUAGGCCUAGACAAUGGAUAUCUAUAUGUUAUCCAUAGAAGCAACCUUGAGAAUAACGACGUCACCAUUAUACAUGAUUCUUAAUCAUGUGGUUUAGUCUCUCAUUUGAGUUCAGACCUUGAUGAGACCUUGAUUCCCUGGCUUGAGCUAUCGCCCCAUUAGUGUCAUAGUGUCAGUACACUAGAGACACUUUCUGGUUGGAACCGAAUAGAGAGUUCAUAAGUGAACUUUCCCAUCCAAACAACAUUGUUGUAAGCUUCUAUAUGGCAAUAUAUUUUGCUUUCAUAAUGGAACACACUAAAGUCAUUACUUUUAAUGUUUCCAUCCAAAUAUCUCUUUAGUCAUAAUAAAGAGAUAUUUGUUUAUCUCUUUAUUCAUAAUGAAGAAACAUCCAAUGAUGGAUUAGAUUCAUAAUCUAAUACAUUUACGCUUCCACUACGUUACUCCAAUUCUUCCUCAAAUAUUAAGGAAUCUAUCCUUUAGUAUUUUUUAAAUACUUAAGGACUCACUUGACAGUUGCCAUGGUUCUGAUCCUGGGCUUGCACUGAUAUCAUCUUGUACCUUUCUAGGUACAACUUAUAUCAAUGUUUUUCAUACAAUAUGAAAUACAUAAAUCACCUUUCUGCGUAUGCAUAAAGGAUUCUAUUCACGCAUUAUUUCUUUGGGAGUCAAAGGGUACGUUCCCUUUGAGAAGAGCUACCUCCUAGUCUCACUAGAGUUGUUCUUCUGAUCGAAGUUUAUUAUCAUAUGAGAAACUUCCUAGCAUCUUUUGUCUAUUAUUAGGGCUUGAUAUAAUCCAAUUAUAUCUUGAAAUCUAUCAUUAUAGAUUUCCAUCCCAUGUAUAUAGACUAUAUCUCCCAUAUACCUUCUAUCGUUAUAGAAUGUUUAAAUUCAUAACUUUAACGAAGAAGUAUUCUUUUCAUUUCCAAAAUUAAUAUAUCAUAUAUAUAUAUAUAUAUAUUCAAAUUUAGGAAUAUGAUUAACUCCCACUAAUCUUUUGUAAACCUAGUAAACAAAAGUCAUUUACAUUUUUAUGAGAAAUCAAACGAUUUGAUCUUUCUCUCAUAAGACGCUUAUAGCUCCCACUAGCUUGCUAAGAUCCAUGAUGGAUGGAUCUCUACAACUUACAUGUCUUGUGAUUCAUAGUUUUAGACAUAUAUUAUCAAGACUAUCUUAAAAAUGGUUUCGGAAACCCAUAUUAUGUCCAAACAUUGAAUCACCAUUUAGUUGUAGUUAGCAAUCUUCGAAUUAAUUGAAAACAAGACUACGUCAAAGAUGGUUUCUUCAAAGUCAACCAAUCUUAUUGAUUGUAGUCACCUUAAGUUACCAAUUAGCUAUGAAGGUUUCAUUAUUUCGGGUCAAAUGGUACUUUACCAUUUCCUUGAGUAUAUGUCGUAUAUAUACUCAAUGUAGUCAUAAGGAUUUUCAUUCUUAUUUCUUUCGAAUUAAGAGGUGCAACUCUAUGACAUAGUCAUAAGGUUCAAACCAUACAAAGACGGUUUACAAAUCCUUCUCGACUACUUUGGAGCUUGUGGUAUAGGAACUAGGUUGUUAUAUUUGUUGAUUACUAUCUUGUCUCUCAAAGAACCCAUUCUUUGAGUUCUAUCUCUCGUUCAUUUGCGCUUGGGCAAAUCAUAUUGUAGGAUUACAAUGAACUACCCAACAAAACAACAUUUGUUAGUUGGUUUAUAGAAGCGAUAUCCAAAAGUUAAUUUAAGGAUAUCCCACAAGAGUGUUAUCAAACAAAUAUUGCUUAUAAGCACACAACCCCAAAUCUUAACAUGCUUAAGAUUUGUCUUUCUUUCCAACUACAUCUUAUGGAGUCAUGAAAAUUUUGGAAGAUCUUCUAAUUGACAAUCAUAUUGUUUUAGAAGUAUAUAUCCUAUAUAUGGAUAAAAGAUAACAUCCAACGAACUAAAUCUUAUUCAAGUUCAUUCUUCUCCUAAUGGAGAAAUUCAUUAUCUUAUGAUGCUAUUUUCCUUGAUAUCUUUCAAGGAAACUCAUCUAAGGAGGUGAAUACUUUAGACGUCUUACUCAUCAACUUACUUUUCUUGAAUUCUUUGAAACCUUUUGCAAAGUAUUCGGACUUGUGUUUAUUCAAAAUAAAUGACAGUCCAACCGAGAGCGAUCUUCGGUGAAUGUCAUCCAACAUGAGUAGUAUUAUGUUGUGGACAAGUGCCACUAACAUCUAAGUGAAUUAACCUCAACAACUUUGUGAGUCUUUCUUCUUUCAAAAGAAUAAAGAUUCGAACAUUUCGCCUCUAUACAAUUUUAACAAGAAGGUAUUGGAUCCGGAUCUAACGAUCCAAAGCAUCCAUGUACACUCAAAACAAAACAUUACCCAUGAAAUUCAAAGCCUAGUAGUUUGGUGAACCAAGACUCAACUCAAAUCAAAGUGAGUUGAGAAAUUUAUACCUUUGUAGAUUCCUCUUUGCAUAAGCAAAGGCUAAUCACCCAAGGAGAGGGCCUUCAUUCCUUGCUUCUUAGAUCCAUGGAUUUGGAUGGAAGAAUAUGUUUCUCCAAGUUCUAAAAAUAGAGAACCUCUAAGUCUCCACACCAAGGUAAGAUGUGAAGAAGAGAUGAGUGACCUUGGAGGAGAAAGAUUACUAGCUAAUCCCUCCAAGGGUGGCCGGCCUCUCUUAGAGAGAAAGGAGAGCUUUGUGUUCUCUCCAAUUUCCUCAAAAAAAACCCUUAAUGAAUUUUGGCUAUAAAGUCAUAUUUAUACCUUUAUUCAUUGGAGUGGCAAACUUGUAAUUAAAGCAAGUUCACUACCCUUCCUCUAAAUGGCCGGCCUUAGGGUAUUAUUGGGCUAUUUGGGCCUUUGUGAAUCAUUAUUCAUUAAGUUGUCAUACAAUUUAAGUCAAUGGACUUGAUGUUCAAAGCCCAUUGGGCCUUAAGGUCCAAUACUAUCCCGAGGUCUUUAACGAACUUAUUCGUUUGAUUAAUUAACAUAUUAAUUAAUCCUUGCCAUCAAUAAUUAAACCAUUUAAUUAUUCUUACUCAUCUCCGUUGUUUCUUCAAUCUUUACCUUACACGGUGUAUGAUCCAUUAGGUUCCUUUUAGCGAGGCAGUGGGAGAUUAAAACUCUUUCAAAUCGAUUGUGAAUUGAAACUUACUUUCAAUUCUCCCCUUGGUGUUUAUACACGUUUAGGGCUUCCACAAACCAUGAGUGACACCUAGUAGCAUAUCAUGGUUACACAAGCUAAUCAGAAGAGGUGGAGAACCUAUUCAGUUUAGGAUUACAAUGCAAUACGGUCUUUCUCUAAUACAAUACUCUUGACCACAUUGUUUGGUUUGAUAGUUUAUUCAUGUCUACUAUCCAAUGUGAUUCAUUUACUUAUAUGAUUAUCUUGAAUGUGAUUUGGAACGACUUCCUAAAUCUCAUUCAUACUCUGGCCAGAGAUUCUUAAUCAUAUCAUAGAGUAUUCUCCCUCAAACGGUUUGAAGGUUAGAGAUCCCUUGUUGCGCAUUCACUUGCCUCCAUGGCUAAGUGGCUUAACCCCAACUAUGCCGUGGACACCCGCGAAUGGAGUGACUUUGACAUAAUCAAAGAUCAAGGACCUAACCACAAGACAACUAUGAUGCCUCAGAUCAAAGGACUACUUUGCAUUAUCCCAACCAUGAGUUCUCAUGUGACAUGAGUAUGAGAACUCUUCGUUGAUCGUGUUCAGUGAACUCAUUCGCUAUUGAGCACCUACAUGCUUGUCUUGGUGUCAAUCACACCAAUGGCUCGAGACCAGUCACUCUCCAUGAGAGCAGACACAACACGUACUUAUCUUAACGGACUGUGAAUGCCCAAUUGGCAAUCCUAUGAUCAGGAACGUUUAGGAUAUGUAUACGAAAGAGAAAGGUCUCAUAAAUCUAACUUGUUUAAAUUACAUUCUCCUAAUUACAUAUUCCUUGGACUUAUCGUUUAAGCAUAUAACAUUUAUAUGAGACGGCUUAAAAAAACAAUAAUCUUUGCCCUUGAUAUUAAACUAGAUUAGUUUAACAUGUGAAAUGUCAGUAAAGUAUCAUCACAUGAUUGGUUUUAGGGCACAUUUCCAACAAAUGGAACACACUAAAGUCCUUACCUUUAAUGUUUCCAUCCAAAUAUCUCUUUAGUCAUAAUAAAGAGAUAUCUGAUUAUCUCUUCAUUCAAAAUGAAGAAACAUCCAAUGAUGGAUUAGAUUCAUAAUCUAAUACAUUUACGCUUCCAUUACGUUACUCUAAUUCUUCCUUAUUCUUGAGGAAUCCAUCCUUUAUUAUUUCUCAAAUACUUAAGGAUUCACUUGACAGUUGCCAUGGUUCUGAUCCUGGGCUUGCAUUGAUACCGAUCUUGGUACAACUCAUAUCAACGUUUCAUACAAUAUGAAAUACAUAAAUCACCUUUUUGCGUAUACAUAAAGGAUUCUAUUUACGCAUUAUUCCUUUGGGAGUCAAAGGGUACGUUCCGUUUGAGAAGAGUUACCUCCUAGUCUCACUAGAGUUAUUCUUCUAAUUGAAGUUUAUCAUCAUAUGAGAAACUUCCUAGCAUCUUUUGUCUAUCAUUAGGGCUUGAUAUCAUCCAAUUAUAUCCUGAAAUCAAUCAUUAUAGAUUUCCAUCCCAUGUUUAUAGACUAUGUCUCCCAUAUACAUUCCAUCAUUAUAGAAUGUUUAAAGUCAUAACUUUAACGAAGAAGUAUUCUUUUCUUUUUAUUUCCAAAAUUAAUAUAUCAUAUAUAUGUUAAAUUUUUAGGAACAUGAUUAACUCCCACUAAUCUUUUGUAAACCUAGUAAACAAAAGAUUCAUAUACAUCUUUAUGAGAAAUCAAUUGAUUUGAUCUUUCUCUCAUAAGACGCUUAUAGCUCCCACUAGCUUGCUAAGAUCCAUGAUGGAUGGAUCUCUACAACAUACAUGUCUUGUUAUUCAUAGUUUUAGACAUAUAUUAUCAAGACUAUCUUAAUAAUGGUUUCGGAAACCCAUAUUAUGUCCAAACAUUGAAUCACCAUUUAGUUGUAGCUAGCAAUCUUCGAAUUAAUUGAAACCAAGACUACGUCAAAGAUGGUUUCUUCCAAGUCAACCAUUCUCUUUGAUUGUAGUCACCUUAAGCUAACAAUUAGCUAUGAAGGUUUCAUUAUUUCGGGUCAAAUGGUACUUUACCAUUUCCUUGAGUAUAUGUCG
rnacentral:lncRNA from 1 species